UGGAGUGCUUUGUAUGCUCUGCCUCAUACAGCUGCACACUGUUCCAUCUGGUUCACUGUUCUUUCCUCCUUUGAUCCUUUGCUGUCUGAGAAUGAAGAGAAAAUAUUGGACAGAAAAAGCCUUGGCUGUUGCUAUGGCUGCAAUCGGCAUUAUGCGCUGUUAAACAUAAACAUUCUAUUGUAUUUUUGCUUCAAACCUAGAAUAAUAAUUGAUAAUAUUCUGUGGUACGAUAGAACUAAUUCAAAUUAUUUGACUGAUCCCAGUUAGCUGGAAUGAAACCAGUCUCAUAAUAUUUCAACAUCGUUCAUCCAAUUCGAGUUAAUUCUGUUGAUGUACACUCUGAUCGUGUAGUGCAUUUUAGUGGCCAGUCGAGUGCACAAGAACCUCAGGGGACAGAGAAAGGGAGAGAGUCACAAAGAUGCAGGUGUAGAGAGCCAGUGGAAGUCGGUAAUUUUUCGUUCCUUAUUUCCAUCAGCUUCAUACUUCUGUUGGUCGUGCAGUGUGCAAAUUUCUUAUAUUGCAGCAUUAAUGGAACAAUUGCUGCCAAGUACAUUCGUUUUCGAAAGAAUUUUGUGUUCGGUGCAAAAAUGCUGAAGGGUGUCAGCUGCAGCACAAACACAUUAUUUUAUGCAGUGACUCUGCGCAAGUUCAGAGGGAAGUUCAGGAAUGCAGUGCACCAAUUGGUCAGAUAGCUUCUUCACUUAAUGACUCAGCAAAACAACUGAAAGAGCUCAAGAGGCAGCCACAGUUUUCCCAGUGCAGAAAUUGCAUAUCUACGGCGAAGAUUCAAGCAGCACAAACACAUGGAUUUAUGUAUAACUCACGGCAGUUAAUGGGUAGGGUGUGUAUUAACAGUAUGGGUCACCUUUCACCACACUCAGGAACAUACUUCUAUCUCCGAUUGACUGACGGAUUGACACACAAGGGGACGCACAAACAAUGAGCAGCAGGAAGCCAUUCAGCCAUUCUAGUUUGGUCCGCCCGCCAUUUCAGAAGAUCACAGUUCAUGCAAUUCUAAAGUGUAAUCCACAUUUCUGUCUGCCCCCGAUAGUGCUCAGGCUUAACAUUAAUCUAUCCACCUUCAACUGAAGAAACAUUGACAGGUAUGAAAAGGGACAGCAGGUAAGGAGGGAAGAGUUAACUGUCUGCGGCAGGGGAGGUUCGAAUGAGGCUGCAGAAGUGAUUAGCAAUGACGGACUGGCUGCAAGUGAUGUUUUCAGCUGGAACAUUGGAUCUUCACUGACUUCCCCAUGAAUGAGUAUUAAAAACCAACAGGACGGGUCCCAUAUUUCCGCUGCAGGGGAGCAGGAGGAUGGGCAGAAACAGAAACAAUCUGAUGAUUGGAUUGUGUCAAGCUUCUUAAUCGUUGAUGGAGCUGCAUUCUUCCAGGCAAGUGUGAAGUAUUCCAUGAAAAUUCUGAAUUUUAUCUUCUGAAUUUUGGAGAGUCAGGAGUCGUAUUCCUCGCCUCUGACCUGCUCUUGAAGCAAUAAUGUUUAAAUUCACUAUGAACAGAUAGAUAUUGACAAAGCCACUGAAGUUGAUUGGGCCUAGGAGACUACUCUGAGGUAGGCUGGAGCUGAAAUGACUUACCUACAACAAGCACAACCAUCUUCCUAUGUGCUAGAUAUGACAUCAACUCAUGGGGAGUGUGUGUUGAUUGUCAUUUUGUCAGGGCCACAUGGACGUCACUCUCACCUCACUUCUGGAAUCCAGCGAUUUGUCCAUGUUUGAAGCAACGAUGUAUUUAUCAGCUAAAAAUAAAAGAAAUUGCUGGAAAAUCAUAGCAGGUCUGUCAGCAAACAUGAAGAGAAAUCAGAUUUAACGCUUCAGGGUCAUUGACAUUCUCAGAAUCUGACAGAACUUGCCCUCCCAACUAUUUAUGUGUCUUCUGCAAACCUGGCAACAGCGCGUUCACUUCCUUUCUCUAUAUCAUUCACAUACACUGUACUACAUCUUUAUAGGUAUUGGAUACACAGUAUUAUGGAUUAUUAUAUGUUAGCGCUGUUUGUGUCUGUCCAAAUAUUGCUGUGUGAAGGAACAGAUCAUGCUUACAUGCAAAUAUUAUUGUGCAUUGUAACUGUUUAUGUUUACAUCUAAAUAUUCUUUUGCAUUGCGGCAGUUCCAGCUUAUAUAUAAAUAUGAUUCAGUAUUAGAACUGCUCAUUUGUAAAUAUACGUAUUGUUGGAUCUAGACAAUAUUCAUUUUAGUAUUCAAUUUCUUUUUUUUUCGGAGCUGUUCAUGCUUGUAUAUAAGUAUUGUUGUAUCUCAGAACUGUUCUCUAUUUUGUACAAACACUUGUGUGUUGCAGCUACACACAUUUAUAUGUAAACAAUUUUUCAUUUGCUAAGUAUUUACGUUUAUAUAAAAAUCUUGUGGUAUAUUGAAACAGUAUUGAAACUGUUCAUAUUUGUGUUUGACAAUUGUGCAUUACAACUGUUUGUGUUCAUAUCUAAAUAUUGUAUAUUAGAACUGUUCAUGUUUAUAUGUAAAUAUUGAAGUGUACUGGAGCUGUUCAGUUAUACAUAAAAGCUGUGAAUUUGAACUGUUCCAGUUGAUGUCUAUAAAUUGUACUUUGUAUUGGAGCUGUUCCAGUUUGCACAUAAAUAUUGUGUAUUGGAACUGUUGCUAAUUAUAUGUAAAUAUAAUUGUAUAUUGAAGUUAUGCCUGCCUCCUCCCGAUCAGCAAUAUAGUGUCUAACAUGUGGUUCAGCUGCUGAGCCCCUCCAGUCCUUUGGAAUGAAGUUGCAAUUCCAGGGCCGGCCAGAGGGUCGGCAACACAGAAUAGCGACGUUCACGUGUUAGCAGUUGUGAUGAGUGAUUUGGUAAUGACUCCGAGACUCUGGUUCUUGUGGUGGGAACACGCAUUCUGGAACAGGGAACCAAAAUUGAAGAGCAUCAGAGGAAGACAGACAGAGUUAGAGAGGGGACUAAUGAUUGUAACAGAGAGCGAAUACAAUUCAGAACAAUGGUGAUAGGAUUAAAUAGAUAACAAUAAUGAGAAGGUUAAAUGGAGAGUAAUAGGGAGAGCGUUGAAUACUCGAUAAUGGGAUGGAAUUUCAUGCAAAAUAAUAAGGAAAGUUGUAAAUGGAAUUUUAUUGGAAGAAGUUUCAAGUUAAUUGAGCGAGGAAAGGGUUGACUACGGGGAAAAGCCAGGAGUUUAUGUCAAGUAGCACGAAGUGGAUUAGGCAGAGAGUAACGUGAAGAAAUUUCAAUAUAAGGGAAUACAGAUGGUGGAAUGGAGAGUGUUACGUCAUAGUGGUGAACCGUUCUGCUAAUUAAACCAAACGCAGGGAGCAGCUCAAUUCGGCUCAUAAUCUGUUAAAAGUAUGAGUGACAGAGAACUCCGCAAAUUCCACUAUUCAAAGAAAAACAUCAAUUUUAUUCUUUAACUCUAAAGGUAAUAUUAAACAUCAACUAUUUACAUGUCUAAACCUCCUUUCUCUUCGUGGUCUGUUGUCUACCUUCAACUCUAUGACAAUAUAUUGAUCCAAUAAAAGUCUUUUGAAUUUGCAUCAAUUAAUGUUCAAAA